rnacentral:rRNA from 1 species
GCAUAACGCGAAGAACCUUACCCACCUUUGUACAUGUACGGAAUCCUUUAGUAGAUAGAGGAGUGCUCGAAGAGAGCCGUACACAGUGCUGCAUGGCUGUCGUCAGCUCGUGUCGUGAGAUGUUGGGUUAAGUCCCGCAACGAGCGCAACCCUUGCCAUUAGUUGCUACGAAAGGGCACUCUAAUGGGACUGCCGGUGACAAACCGGAGGAAGGUGGGGAUGGACGUCAAGUCCUCAUGGCCCUUAUAGGUGGGGCUACGACACGUCAUACAAUGGCUGGUACAAAGGGCUGCCCAACCCGCGAGGGGGAGCGUAAUCCCAUAAAGCCAGUCGUAGUCCGGAUCGCAGUCUGCAACUCGACUGCGUGAAGUCGGAAUCGCUAGUAAUCGUGGAUCAGAAUGUCACGGUGAAUACGUUCCCGGGUCUUGUACACACCG